GGUUUCCUCCACAAGUCCAAGUCCAACAAGUCCAAAGACCUGCUACAGUGGGAUGAUGAUGAUGCUCCCUACCCACCUCUACAGAUGGUUAAAAGUCCUUUGCAAACUGUUGGACAAUAGGAGUUAAAAUGCAUUAUUACAUCCUUCGCCGUUUACUGUGUUUUCAACUUGGCUUAUCCACGCUACAUAAAGAAUGCAAAGGAUGAACAUCAGCAACUCCCUGAGAUGGAACAACAAUUUAAAUUUAAACAUCAGCAAUGGUGUGAAGAUGGUGAUCCAAAAUUACAAGAAAAACAAAUCAGUGCAGCUGUCCGAGAGAACUGGUUUUGCUGGGUCUGCAUCAAACAGCAAUGCUUGGAUCUUUGCAUUUACUUUUUUGCAUGCGUUUCGAGUCUGCAUCAGUAUUUUAAGACUAGCAGCUAUUGACAUUUCAAUAACAUUGCCCAAAUCAACUGAGAAGCACAAGAUGACACAAUGCUAAGAAUUUUUUCCGCCCAACAUCUUUGAUGAGAUUGACACAUUCAGGUGUUCAAAUUGAACUGUUUUUGUGAGCAUGUGAGACUGCUAAUGGAGAAGAAAUGACUCCUUCCUAAUGAAAUACAUUUUAAAUGUCAAUACUGCACUGGUUUCUGUGUGGCAAGUUUAUAAUACUGCUGUUGUAUGAUUCAUAUUUCCAUGCAAAUACACUAGGAGUUGACUUUGAAUGGGGUGUUAUAAACCAAGACAGAUGGACUUUCAGGCUCUUGAAACAUACUCUGCUGAUAAACUGUUUAAGAAUGUUUAGAAAUUUAAAUCAAAUGUGUAAUACUGUUUGAUCAAAUGUGUUUUUGAGAUCUAAAAUGAUUAAGGGUAUACAGUAAGUGACAUGUUUCAAUUUACUGUAUGGAAAAAGAUUGCUUUGAGAUUCUUGAUGCUUUUAGAAAAAUGUAGAAUGCAGUGCACUAACAAAAAUAUACUUCAUGAGGUC